GACGAACGCUGGCGGCGUGCUUAACACAUGCAAGUCGAACGGAAAGGCCCUGCUUUUGUGGGGUGCUCGAGUGGCGAACGGGUGAGUAACACGUGAGUAACCUGCCCUUGACUUUGGGAUAACUUCAGGAAACUGGGGCUAAUACCGGAUAGGAGCUCCUGCUGCAUGGUGGGGGUUGGAAAGUUUCGGCGGUUGGGGAUGGACUCGCGGCUUAUCAGCUUGUUGGUGGGGUAGUGGCUUACCAAGGCUUUGACGGGUAGCCGGCCUGAGGGGGUGACCGGCCACAUUGGGACUGAGAGACGGCCCAGACUCCGACGGGAGGCAGCAGUGGGGAAUAUUGCACAAUGGGCGGAAGCCUGAUGCAGCAACGCCGCGUGCGGGAUGACGGCCUUCGGGUUGUAAACCGCUUUCGCCUGUGACGAAGCGUGAGUGACGGUAAUGGGUAAAGAAGCACCGGCUAACUACGU
rnacentral:rRNA from 1 species